rnacentral:rRNA from 1 species
GACGAACGCUGGCGGCGUGCUUAACACAUGCAAGUCGAACGGAAAGGCCCGGCCUUUGUGGGGUGCUCGAGUUGCGAACUGGUGAGUAACACGUGAGUAACCUGCCCUUGACUUUGGGAUAACUUCAGGAAACUUGGUCUAAUACCGGAUAGGAGCUCCUGCUGCUGGGUGGGGGCGGGAAAGUUUCGCCGGUUGGGGAUGGACUGGCGGCUUAUCAGCUUGUUGGUGGGGUAGUGUGUUACCAAGUCUUUGACGGGUAGCCGGCCUGAGCGGGUGACCGGCCACAUUGGGACUGGGAUACGGCCCAGACCCCACCGGGAGGCAGCAGUGGGGAAUAUUGCACAAUGGGCGGAAGCCUGAUGCAGCACAGCAGCGUGCGGGAUGAGGGCCUUCGGGUUGUAAACCGCUUUCGCCUGUGACGAAGCGUGAAUGACGGUAAUGGGUAAAGAAGCACCGGCUAACUACGUG